rnacentral:rRNA from 1 species
CGAGUGGCGGACGGGUGAGUAAUGCAUAGGAAUCUGCCCUAUAGUGGGGGACAACCUGGGGAAACUCAGGCUAAUACCGCAUAAUCUCUACGGAGGAAAGGCUUCGGCCGCUAUUGGAUGAGCCUAUGUCAGAUUAGCCUGUUGGUGGGGUAAAGGCCUACCAAGGCGACGAUCUGUAGCUGGUUUGAGAGAACGAUCAGCCACACUGGGACUGAGACACGGCCCAG